rnacentral:lncRNA from 1 species
GGUCACCAUGCGAGCGACCACAAUGUUGACAAGGUUGGUUAGUUUUAGUAGGUGGGGCUGUAGGUGGGGACAACGCAGGAGGAAAGGAAAUUAUGAUUUGUUUGUCUGGGGGGUUACUUACUGGGUCAGGCAAUCUCUUUUUAAGCUGUUGGGGCUGUUGUUGGGCUCGAACUCGAGCAAAGUGUUGGUGCUUAGCCAAGAUAAGAUCUUCGGCCAACUGAGCAUGUUUAA